UGAUAACACUGUCUGGUCAAUCCAUGCCU
rnacentral:sRNA from 1 species